CAAAGCCCGCCCACCCCGCGAGCCAAUAAGAUCCAGGGAAAGCAGAUGUUGCGCAUUGAGUUUGCACCUGCUGAGAAUUAAACAUCCAACUGGAGCCUUCGCCCAGCCUUCUCGGUUCCCCUCUAAGCUUAUCGUGGGGGAGCGCCCGCCUCCUAACCCACAGUUAAGUGAAAGGUUCUUGCUGUGGUGCCCAAGCUGGCCUCAAACUCCUGGGUUCAAGCCAUCCUCCUGCCUCAGCCUCGCCAGUAGCUGAGUCUAUAGGCACGCCUGACUUCCACCAAUUUAAAAAUACGCAUCGCCUCUGCUCCCCAAAGAAUCAAGACUCCUUACUAGAAGCCGGAACUGGGGGCAGGAUCAUACUCUAUGCUGCUUCCAUCUUUAGGUCACAUGGAUGAAUCAAGUCCAGUGUUGUAGGAGAGAUUCUCCUCAACCUCUCCAGCCACCACCGUAGGCUCCAAGUCUUCCAGGUUGGUCUCAGAUGUUCUCCAGCCUGAUUCAUCAUCCCACUCAUUUCUCAGAGCGAGGGUCCCAUGCAGAGUCUCCUGCUUGUCCCCAAGAUAGGUGCUGGUGGGAGAAGGGGACGGGACCCAUCCCAGCACCUUGUUUCAACCGUGCUAACAUCUAGUCUGCACUGCAGCGCUUCCCACCCUUUUCUCCUGGUCUCUAAUGGGCCCCAGCAAGAAACUGUAGUCUAAGCCCUCAGCUUUGCCCCUGUAACCUAGAACCUCCACAGCACCUUCUUAACCUGUGUUCCUUGGAGCCCGUGAGGGCUUCAGACAACUGCAAAACAUAAACAUUUUUUUCAAAUCAUG